AACGUAGGACGCAAGCGUUAUCCGGAGUUACUGGGCGUAAAGCGCGGGCAGGCGGUGGGUCAAGUCUGAUGUGAAAGCUCCCGGCUCAACCGGGAGAGGCCAUUGGAAACGGGCCCGCUGGAGGGCAGUAGAGGUAGGCGGAAUUCCGGGUGGAGUGGUGAAAUGCGUAGAGAUCCGGAGGAACACCAGAGGCGAAGGCGGCCUACUGGGCUGCACCUGACGCUGAGCCGCGAAAGCCAGGGGAGCGAACGGG
rnacentral:misc_RNA from 1 species